CUACGGGGGGCUCCAGUGGGGAAUAUUGGACAAUGGGGGAAACCCUGAUCCAGCAAUGCCGCGUGUGUGAAGAAGGCCUGCGGGUUGUAAAGCACUUUCGGUUGGGAGGACUGCUUCUAGCACUAAUAUUGUUGGAAGUUGACGUUACCUUCAGAAGAAGCACCGGCGUAACUCCGUGCCAGCAGCCGCGGUAAUACGGAGGGUGCAAGCGUUAAUCGGAAUUACUGGGCGUAAAGCGCGCGUAGGCGGCUAGAUCAGUCGGGUGUGAAAGCCCCGGGCUUAAGCUGGGAACUGCAUCCGAUACUGUCUAGCUUGAGUACAGGAGAGGAGAGUGGAAUUCCACAUGUAGCGGUGACAUGCGUAGAUAUGUGGAGGAACACCAAUGGCGAAGGCAGCUCUCUGGCCUGAUACUGACGCUGAGGUGCGAAAGCGUGGGAAGCAAACAGGAUUAGAUACCCCUGUAGUC
rnacentral:rRNA from 1 species